CUACGGGUCGCAGCAGCCGAGAAUAUUCGACAAUGGGCGAAAGCCUGAUCGAGCGAUACCGCGUGGUGGAUGAAGUGCCUCGGCACGUAAACAUCUUUUAUGGAGGAGGAAGUCAUUGACGUUACUCCAUGAAUAAGGGGCUCCUAACUCUGUGCCAGCAGGAGCGGUAAUACAGAGGCCCCAAGCGUUACCCGGAAUUACUGGGCGUAAAGAGUGCGUAGGUGGUUGUAUUAGUCGGCUGUUAAAUACUCAGGGCUCAACCUUGGGGAUCCAGUCGAAACGGUACGACUCGAGGGCGUGAGAGGUGAAUGGAACUCAUGGUGUAGGGGUGAAAUCCGUUGAUAUCAUGGGGAACACCGAAAGCGAAGGCAAUUCACUGGCGCGUUCCUGACACUCAAGCACGAAAGCGUGGGUAGCGAACGGGAUUAGAUACCCUUGUAGUC
rnacentral:rRNA from 1 species